rnacentral:rRNA from 1 species
UAACUGGAGGACCGAACCGACUAAUGUUGAAAAAUUAGCGGAUGACCUGUGGCUGGGGGUGAAAGGCCAAUCAAACCGGGAGAUAGCUGGUUCUCCCCGAAAGCUAUUUAGGUAGCGCCUCGUGAAUUCAUCUCCGGGGGUAGAGCACUGUUUCGGCUAGGGGGCCAUCCCGGCUUACCAACCCGAUGCAAACUGCGAAUACCGGAGAAUGUUAUCACGGGAGACACACGGCGGGUGCUAACGUCCGUCGUGAAGAGGGAAACAACCCAGACCGCCAGCUAAGGUCCCAAAGUCAUGGUUAAGUGGGAAACGAUGUGGGAAGGCCCAGACAGCCAGGAUGUUGGCUUAGAAGCAGCCAUCAUUUAAAGAAAGCGUAAUAGCUCACUGGUCGAGUCGGCCUGCGCGGAAGAUGUAACGGGGCUAAACCAUGCACCGAAGCUGCGGCAGCGAACGUAUCACUUAAAGCGAUUCAGCGGGUUACGAUUGACGGAGCGAAGCGACGUCAAAGCGUAUACAAAGUCGAGUCGGUUUAAGGAUACGUUCGUUGGGUAGGGGAGCGUUCUGUAAGCCUGCGAAGGUGGCCUGUGAGGGUUGCUGGAGGUAUCAGAAGUGCGAAUGCUGACAUAAGUAACGAUAAAGCGGGUGAAAAGCCCGCUCGCCGGAAGACCAAGGGUUCCUGUCCAACGUUAAUCGGGGCAGGGUGAGUCGACCCCUAAGGCGAGGCCGAAAGGCGUAGUCGAUGGGAAACGGGUUAAUAUUCCCGUACUUGGUGUUACUGCGAAGGGGGGACGGAGAAGGCUAUGUUGGCCGGGCGACGGUUGUCCCGGUUUAAGCGUGUAGGUGUGUGUUCCAGGUAAAUCCGGUU